rnacentral:rRNA from 1 species
GUGGAGAACGCCUUGAUCAGCCAUGGCGGUGUGAAGAAACGAAGGCAAGAGGGAUAAUAAAGCUCUCCGCGCUGGGAAUAUAAUGACUGUACCAGAAAGUAUCAGCCCAGAUUAUCUCCGUGCCAGCAGGCGGCUGUAAUAGUGAGGCGGCGAGCUUGAUAAAAAUUUAGUUGGUCGUAAAGCGCACGUCGGCGGCUAUGUAAGUCAGAGGUGACAGCGUGGAUAUAAACUACAAGAACUGCUUCAGAGACUGCAUCGCCUGACUCCAGGAGAGGUCAGUGGAAUUCCGAGGGUAGAGGUGAACUUGGUAGAUAUUCGGAAGAACACCAGCGGCGAAGGCGGCAUGACGGGACUGGUAUUGACGUUGAGGUGCGAAAGCGUGGGGAGCAAACAGGGAUUAGAUACCGUGGUAGUCCACGCGGUAAACGAUGAUAAGUAGCUGUCCGGGCACUUGGUGCUUGGGUGGCGCAGAUAACGCUUUAAGUUAUCCGCGUGGGGAGUACGCCCGCAAGGUUAAAACUCAAAGGAAUUGAGGGGGGCGUGCACAAGCGGUGGAGCAUGUUGUUUAAUUGGAAGCAACGCGCAGAACUUUACCAGCGUUUGACAUGGUAGGACGAUUUCCAGAGAGGGAUUUCUUCCAUUCGGGGACCUACACACAGGUGCUGCAUGGCUGUCGUCAGCUUGUCUCGUGAGAUGUUGGGUUAAGUCCCGCAACUAGCGCAACCCUCGCCUUUAGUUACCAUCAUUUGGUUGGGUACUUUAAAGGAACCGCCGGUGAUAAGCCGGAGGAAGGUGGGGAUGAUGUCAAGUCCUCAUGGCCCUUACGCGUUGGGGUACACACUUGGUACAAUGGCAACUACAGUGGGCAGCGACCCUGCGAGGGCGAGUUAAUCCCCAAAAGUUGUAUCACUUCGGAUUCUUAUUUGCAACUCGAGAGCUUGAAGGCGGAAUCGUUUGUAAUCGCGGAUCAUCAUGCCGCGGUGAAUACGUUCCCAGGCCUUGUACACACCCCCCGUCACACCAUGGCAGUUGGAUUCACCCGAAGGCGCUGCGCCAACCUAGCAAUAGGAAGCAGGCGACUCACUUGUCCCCUACUUUGC